CACCAUCCAUUCCUACCACUUUCACUACUCCACUCUCUUCCUCCACUCUGCCACCAUCAUUUCCUACAUAUCCAUCACUUUAUUUCCAAUACCAAAUAUCAUGCCACACACAUCUAGCCCUACUUACAGUCCUUUCUCUUCCCACACUAUGGUCCCACCUGGGCAAUCACCAUCUGUCCAAUAUAUGCACACUUCUACCGCUACAAUUUCUUGCCAGGAGGGCUUGCAUACACA
rnacentral:lncRNA from 1 species